rnacentral:rRNA from 1 species
CCUACGGGUGGCAGCAGUGAGGAAUAUUGGUCAAUGGGCGCUAGCCUGAACCAGCCAAGUCGCGUGAAGGAUGACUGUCCUCUGGGUUGUAAACUUCUUUUAUAUGGGACUAAAGUGCAGUAUGUAUACUGCUUUGCAUGUACCUUCUGAAUAAGGAUCGGCUAACUCCGUGCCAGCAGCCGCGGUAAUACGGAGGGUCCGAGCGUUAUCCGGAUUUAUUGGGGUUAAAGGGAGCGUAGGCGGGUUGUUAAGUCAGAUGUGAAAGUUUGCGGCUCAACCGUAAAGUUGCAGUUGAUACUGGCGUCCUUGAGUGCAGUAGAGGUAGGCGGAAUUCGUGGUGUAGCGGUGAAAUGCUUAGAUAUCACGAAGAACUCCGAUUGCGAAGGCAGCCUGCUGGGCUGUAACUGACGCUGAUGCUCGAAAGUGUGGGUAUCAAACAGGAUUAGAUACCCCUGUAGUC